AUUGAACGCUGGCGGCAGGCCUAACACAUGCAAGUCGAGCGGAUGAAGGGAGCUUGCUCCUGGAUUCAGCGGCGGACGAGUGAGUAAUGCCUAGGAAUCUGCCUGGUAGUGGGGGAUAACGUCCGGAAACGGGCGCUAGUACCGCAUACGUCCUGAGGGAGAAAGUGGGGGAUCUUCGGACCUCACGCUAUCAGAUGAGCCUAGGUCGGAUUAGCUAGUUGGUGGGGUAAAGGCCUACCAAGGCGACGAUCCGUAACUGGUCUGAGAGGAUGAUCAGUCACACUGGAACUGAGACACGGUCCAGACUCCUACGGGAGGCAGCAGUGGGGAAUAUUGGACAAUGGGCGAAAGCCUGAUCCAGCCAUGCCGCGUGUGUGAAGAAGGUCUUCGGAUUGUAAAGCACUUUAAGUUGGGAGGAAGGGCAGUAAGUUAAUACCUUGCUGUUUUGACGUUACCAACAGAAUAAGCACCGGCUAACUUCGUG
rnacentral:rRNA from 1 species